CCCUGUCUGGCCCUGAGGCCUAGUGAUCAGAUGUGAAACAUCCAUGAAAACAGAGGAGUUCCCCAAAGAACGAAUGACAGUUAAAAUGUUAGAACCCCAACUCCCGUACAAGCAGCAGCAAGGAAAGUAAAAUGGCUUGACAAAGAAAAGACAAGAAGGCUUUGUUUUAUGAUAUUGG